CUGGUUCUCGCAUCUAAGUAGUAGCAUUCCAUUCAUGAGAUCAUAUCUAAACAUGCUUAUUAACUACAGAAAUUGCUUUCUUUGUGAUACAUAUAUGUGAGCGUUCGUUUUCAUAUCUAUAUCAAUCUUCUCACAUAUAACUAGUAUAGGGUGUGUAGUUAGAAAAUUUGAGUGAAAAUUGAGUGCAUAUCUUGUAAGGAAUUGAGUGAUUUCUCUAAGGCAUGCUACUACAUCAAAAACAUUAUUUUAAUCGAUUAAUUGUGAACAAGUAAGUGGUGACUAUGAUUAAGUACGUGCUUAAGUGUGAAGAUGACUCAAAUAUGUGGGGAUAAUGAUUUUUAACAUGUCAUGUGCAUUGGAAAUCCCUGAGGCAAAUGUUGGAAGGUU
rnacentral:lncRNA from 1 species